GACCACGAGGGAAACAGCCCAACCAAGAGGCACGGGUCUCGCGAGACGACUGGAGCAGGGGAAGCCAGCGCCGCCUCCACCAGGGCCUUCCCUGAGCCGGCUCCCCCCUCCCCCGCCCCUCCCCCAGACCCCGCCCCUCCCCAGCCCCACCCCUCCCUCAGCCAGGCUUGCUCAGGUGCCGGCCAGACCCUCCCUCAUCAUGCUGUGCUCGCUGGAUGGUGCGUGUCUGUCUGUCUCCCCUCCUGGGCUGUGAGCACUUGGGACACAGGGCUUUUCCUAACUGGGGUUUUUAUUCCUUGCACUAGGGAGACAGUGCCCAGCUGCACUGAGUUUUCAGUGAAGACAUUAUGAAUGAAUGAAGAACGAACGAAUGAGUCUGAGACUCAUGCCGGUGAGGACGCCUCGGGUCGUGAGUAACGGAGGAGCCAAGUCCAGGCGGCCUAACCCUGACGAGAUGCAUCGUCUCGGAUAAGGUUCUGGGGCGAGGUGGGCGGCAGGCACGGCGUCGUCAGGGCCCCAGCUCCCCGGUUCUGUGGUCCCCUGGGCUCUGCCUCUCUGUCCUCAGGCACCCUUUCUCGUGGCUUCGAGGUGGGCACUGCCAGCUGUUGGUGGGGCAAGCCACUCAUUCAUGCCCAGAGGGAGAAAGAUGGUGGAGUGAAAGUCCUUCUCGCCCAUCUGGUUGGCCAGCCUAGUCACACGUCUGCUCCUGAACCUGCACCAGUCACCGGGGGCAUCCGUGUGCCGACUGGCUGAGAUAUUAACCAGUGGGGAGGGCGGCAAACUGUGACUGGCCAAGCAGGAUUCAUCCAUGGCCUCCCGAGUCCAUAGCGAGUAUGGAGGAGAGGAGAGUGGGCACCAGGCCAAAACGGGGUCCUGGGGGAAAGACGGAGUGGAGAGGUAACCUGUGUGGCAGUGACCCACUGAGGGACGAUGGGACGCCCCCCCUACCCCAGGUCUCUGCCUCUUUCCCCCUAAACAAGUGGGUUAUACAUGACAACCCACAUUUCUUGGGUGCAUACUUGGAGUGACGUGGGCUCUGUACCUCGAGCUUCAUGGGCACAGUCCCAUCGGGACCCCCUUCCCCUGGGAAGGAAUUGCAAUCACUCCAUUGCAGAGCUGAGAGAACAGAGGUGCAGAGAAAUUAAGAAACUUGUCCAAAAUUGCCCAGCUGGUCAGUGAUGGGGCUGGGGGCUGAUGCCUGCAUCCACAGGACAGGCUACUGAGAUCCAAGGAUGCCUAAGGAUGACCAGCAAGGUCUUUUCAAGAUGGGAUGUUCUCCGUGGUACCCAGGGCACCGGUUCCCUCCCCAUCCUACCUUCCCUCUGCCCGCAUCUCUGCCCUCUCCCUCCAGGGCCUGGCAUCCUCAGUGGGCAGAGAGCACGGGCUGCUCAUGCACCCUUGGCCCUUCCCAGAGUCCCUGAAAGGCAGGUGGCACGGAAUCCUGGAAGCCAGGACCACCACCUACCUGGCUGCGGCGGGAAGGGCAGAGCUGCAGCCUGGGGUGUCCUCUUCCCCAUCUCCUCCCCUGGCCCCCAGUCCCGCCCCUCUGGACCUGCACAGGGCAGGGGGCCAUGAGCCCGCAGGGGGACGUGUGCGUCUGCUGGUGCUGAAGUCCCGCUGAGCAUGCACAGGCCGUCCACCAGCAGAAAGAGGUGACGCCACAGAAGAGGAGGAUCAAAGAUCAAGAGGGCAUUAAUUCUGAGGCUCUGUGAUCCCCUCCCUGGGGGGGGCGUGAGGAGGAGGCUGCUGCUGAGUCAGGACCGCCCUCCUGGCUGCCGUGGGAGCAGUAAUGUCAGAAGCACGACGGAGGGCGGGGGUCCUCAGUGGCGCCUGCUCAGGGCUUGGGCCGGGCCGCCGCCCCCGCGCACCUGUCCGCUGGGCCAGCGUUCGUGGUGCGUGAGGGACAGCGUGCGGGCCAGGCUGGCUGCCCACAGCACCUCAUGAGACCCUCACGCCUGCGCCAAGUCCUGAGCGUUGGCCCUCUUCCCUGUUUGCCUGCACUCUGGACCCCUCUUCCCAAGCUGGACAACUGGGGACUUCUCCAGACCCUGUGCCCGCACCCCGCCUGGCCCAGGACGGCCCGGAGCUCGCGCCCUGGGAACCAGGGGUCUCUUCCCCCCAACGCUCUCUUCUCACUGCUCUUGGCAGGAGCAGCAUUUUCUGCCUGUGCCCCUCAAAUUCAUCGCCCCCCGAUGCCUGGGAAAAUGCAAAUAAAAGUAAGAUUAUGCUAUUUUUCGUACAUAAGGAAUGUAGCCACUCGAAUCUGGUUUGGGCUGUCAGCUGAACCCACCAGAGAGGAAUCGACGUUGAGAUAUUCACGUGUGUUCUCAUGGAGCAUUUACUGUGGCGUGUGGGGCUCCCGGAAAGCCUUUAUAUAAAUUAUUCAUUAUGGAAUUCAGAUGAAAUGCCAAAACCCCUCCCAGCCAGGGGCGGCCUUUUUUGCUCUAAUUUUUUUCUGUUACCUCUGAAGAGCCGGUCCCCAUUAGCAUCCAACCCGCUGGCCAGGCAGGCGGCAUAAUUAUUGGGGCGAAAUGAAUGGGCCAGUGCCAUGAUUCUGACCCUGUGCUUGUGUCUCUUCAAGGCAGCUUGACUUUUCUUAAAGGAUUUUCUCUGCUGGCAGCUCGAGUGCUAACGUCCUCUGGUGCCCUCCAAGAGCCAUGUUUUCCGGGGGCGGUGGAGACCCAGGCCCGUCUCCUGCCGCCUGUCUUUGGAGAGGGAGACCCGUUUCUCCCAUUAAUCGAGCCCUUCCAGGCCCCUUCAGGCCCCAACCUGGGGGAGAGUUGGUCAGUAGAGAGAAGAACGAGGCUCAGAGACAGUUGUGGGCUGAGCUCUGUCGUCCCCCAAACCCGAAUGUAGAAGUGUCAGCCCCAGGACGUGUGAGUGUGACCUUAUUUGGAAAUAGGUCUUUACAGACAUGAUCAAACGAGACCACUGGGGGCACCCUGACCCGAUGACUGGUGUCCUUACGAGAAGGGGACACUUAGACACAGACGUGCAGACAGGAGUGCACCGUCUGAAGGCCUGGGAGAGAGGCCUCAGGAGGACCCAAAGCCAACGACAGCCUGAUCUCCGACUUCCCGCCUCCAGAGCCGUGAGAAAAUGCACCCCUGCUGUUGAGGCCCUCUGGCCUCUGCUGGUUUGUUCUGGCAGCCUGAGCAAGUUCACCCAGCGAUAAAGUGGCAUCUCGAGGCUCAAAGACAGCGCCUUGGGGUUUGAACCCGUGGCCUCUGUGGCCAGCCUGCUGGGCCUUUGGUUGGAUGAACUGGGAGCAGCUUUGCAAAGUGGCCCUAAGACCUUCCACGACGCCUGGGAGUUAGCAAGACAGAGGCUCAAGCAGGAAUUCUGCCUGCGCCUUCGUCUCUCCCUUUGAAGAGCUUUCCGUAAACGUUUGUGGAGUUAGUUACACAAUUCACACAUGAAUAAGUGAAUGAGGGAGCGAGGGAGUCCCACUCACCAGGGUGAUGCCCCAAGGCCGCGCUGCGUGUUUGGUGACAAUGACAGGCCACGUGUCUGGAGCCACCGUGGAGCUGCCCACAGGCCUCCCGCUCCUCUGCGCAGCAGGGCGAGACUGAGAGGGCUCAGCCUCUGGGAACCGGGUGGGGUCCUGCCCUCCUGGAGUCCCGGGGCCGGGAGCGGGUUCCACAGGGAGAGGACAGCCGGGGACAUGCUGCCCGAGCUGCGGCCGGCCAGCCGGCCCUCCAGGGCCUUCCCCACGUCCCAGUGAGGCCCACCGGCCUGGCGCAAGUCCCAGGGUGGCCCGGCACGGCCUCAGAUGACCUUUCAGGGACCUCCUGUUUCCGCUGUCGGGAUUAUCAAUCGCUUCUUUUCUCUGAGGGAGGUGUGGGCGGCGCAUCCAGAAAACUCUGUGAGAUUCAUGGGCUUCAUGCUGAAAACAUUCACCGCCUCACAGAGGAGCAGCCGGCCCCGAGACGCCCCCCCGGACCCUCGUGCGUCCAUUCUCCCUGCCUUCAGG